CAUUCUCUUUAUUGCAUCACGAGGUCUGUGGGGUUUCAUUUUUACCAUGUGGAGUGGAUUAUCCCACUGCAAAUCUCCCUUGAGUUCUUGGAAAAAUAUGUGAGAUUGAUAAGCAGCAGGACAUUUUAAAGGAAAUACCCAACUAAGAAAUGUUCAGCAUUUGACAUCGUUUGCAGAGGCACUGGCGACAUCCUAAAAGACUUGGCAGUGUAAGUUCAAGCUCUCAUGAUUUUAAGUCAGCUUCUCAUUAAAGGUCAGCAUGCUUAGCAUGUACCUGGGUCUCAUCACCAGCACCUCCCAAAGUAGAGCUCCGUCAGCAAGAGUGUCCAGAGGAGCGAAGGAAACACAGGAAGAGACAAUGAGGCAGCCUCUCCGGGGAUGGCUUUCAUCAUGGAACAGACCUCUUCGCUGGCCCUUGGAGGAACAGUUGUCACCAUCUGAAAAUUCUUCUAAACCUCCAUUCAACAGUUCUGUACUUUAGACAAGUUAUUUGAUCUUCACGUGCUUCAAUAUUCUCAUUGAGAGAAUAAAUGGUCCACUUGAAGACCACAAGAGGGCACCAGGACCCCAACAGCUGAGCUUUUGCAUGGUUGUAAGCACCUUUUCUGGGUACUUGGAACCAAGUGCCAAUCUUCUGCAAGAGCAUCAGGAUUUCUUUACUGCUGAGCCACCUGAAUUACACCCCACCAAUAAUUUUCUAAACCCUAGUGAUGUUAACACACUUGAUAGAUGAAAUGUGAUACAGUUUGGGGGCCUGUUAACUGAAUGGCAAAAAAAAAA